rnacentral:rRNA from 1 species
GGAGAUUCACGUCUUCUCGCAGGUUCUGACGCAUCCGCUCCUYUCCGACGGCCUUGCCCCCGUCCGGACUCGUCCGGCGCGUGGCGGUGGGGUUGCANAGGGCGGUGUGGAGGCCCGCGGCGGACCGCACUUCUCCCUUAGUAGGACGUCGUGACCCGUCCGGCCAUGGUCUUACGGUCGCAGGGUGGAGCCUGUCCGUUCGUGUUUUACGACACGUCUUCGGGCAGACCCCCGCGUCCCGGCCAUGGGCAACACGCCGGUCGGUAUCGAAUGACGGUGUUCGGCCUCUCACCGGCGGAGGAAACUCCUGCCAGUGAGCGCGACUGCGGCCCUUGACAAGGUGCCGGGAUGCCAGUCAAGUCGGGCUUCCGUCCGUCUGGCUGCUYUCGGCCCUGUUGGUCUUGGUGCUCUCUCGCCGGCCUAUCCACACUUGUCUACGGCGAAUCAGUUUUGGGCUCUUGUCCGACCCGUCUUGAAACACGGACCAAGGAGUUCAGCGUGUACGCGAGUCAUUGGGUGGUAAAACCCAAAGGCGAAAUGAAAGUGAAGGGAACUUCGCGUUUCUGAGGGAGGAUGAGUCGGUUACCCGCAAGGGGCCACUCCGCACUCCCGGGGCGUCUCUUUCUCACUGCGAGUGGAGGCGCACCCAGAGCGUACACGCUGAUACCCGAAAGAUGGUGAACUAUGCCUGGCCAGGACGAAGCCAGGGGAAACCCUGGUGGAGGUCCGCAGCGAUUCUGACGUGCAAAUCGAUCGUCGGAGCUGG